GGGGGUGGGGUUUAUUUCUAGUGUUGGGGCUGGAGCUGCUUCGGACAUCUUGUAUGCAGUCAGACGAUCUUUGAAACCCGAUUCCAAUGUAAACAGGAAACGUAAAAGAUCUCCGGUACUCAAAUCAGCAGUUGUUUAUGGAUCCUUUCUUGGUACAUCAGCAAAUCUUCGAUAUCAGAUAAUUGCCGGAUUAGUGGAACACAGGCUUUCAGAUAUUCUGUUAUCCUACUACAAUGAACCCAUGCUUGUGAACAUCUUAUCUUUUGUGGUUCGGAC
rnacentral:misc_RNA from 1 species